rnacentral:rRNA from 1 species
UACGGGGGGAGCAAGCGUUGUUCGGAUUUACUGGGCGUAAAGGGCGCGUAGGCGGUUCUUUUAAGUCAGGCGUGAAAGCCCUGGGCUCAACCUGGGAGUGGCGCUUGAUACUGGAGGACUAGAGAGUGGGAGAGGUUGGUGGAAUUCCCAGUGUAGAGGUGAAAUUCGUAGAUAUUGGGAAGAACACCGGUGGCGAAGGCGGCCAACUGGACCAGCACUGACACUGGAGGCACGAAAGCGUGGGGAGCAAACAGGG